rnacentral:rRNA from 1 species
UACGUAGGGGGCUAGCGUUGUCCGGAUUUAUUGGGCGUAAAGAGCGUGUAGGCGGCCAGGUAGGUCCGGUGUGAAAACUCGAGGCUUAACCUCGAGAUGUCAUCGGAAACCAUCUGGCUAGAGUCCGGAAGAGGAAAGUGGAAUUCCUGGUGUAGCGGUGAAAUGCGUAGAUAUUGGGAAGAACACCGGAGGCGAAGGCGGGUUGCUGGGCCGACACUGACGCUGAGGCGCGAAAGCCAGGGGAGCAAACGGG